ACUUCUUAGAGGGAUAAGGGGAACGAAGCCCCAAGAGAUUGAGCAAUAACAGGUCUGUGAUGCCCUUAGAUGUCCGGGGCCGCACGCGCGCUACACUGAAAGAUGCAACGAGCGUUCGCCCUGUUGCGAGAGCAACGGGUAACCAGUUGAAAAUCUUUCGUGAUUGGAAUAGGGGUUUGUAAUUAUUCCCCUUGAACGAGGAAUUCCUAGUAAGUGCAAGUCAUCAUCUUGCGUUGAUUACGUCCCUGCCCUUUGUACUGAGCG
rnacentral:rRNA from 3 species